rfam:Actinobacteria bacterium 13_1_20CM_4_69_9 13_1_20cm_4_scaffold_124, whole genome shotgun sequence.
GCGGGCGUAGCUUAGUGGCAAAGCGCGAGGUUUCCACCCUCGAUACGGGAGUUCGAUCCUCCCCGCCCGCU